rnacentral:rRNA from 1 species
UACGGAGGGUGCAAGCGUUAUCCGGAUUCACUGGGUUUAAAGGGUGCGUAGGCGGGCAGAUAAGUCAGUGGUGAAAUCUUCGAGCUUAACUCGGAAACUGCCGUUGAUACUAUUUGUCUUGAAUACCGUGGAGGUGAGCGGAAUAUGUCAUGUAGCGGUGAAAUGCUUAGAUAUGACAUAGAACACCAAUUGCGAAGGCAGCUCACUACACGAGCAUUGACUCUGAGGCACGAAAGCGUGGGGAUCAAACAGG